CAUGCAACGGUCGCUGACCAACCAUCGCCGUAGUGUGUAGUCUCGCGCUCCAAUGAGCUUUCGGUUCGACCCCCUCCUGUCUCUGAUAGCUUCGGGGAGUACGAGAGAGAGAGAGAGAGCGGGGGGGGGGGAGGUUGGGUAAGAGUACAAAGAACCUCUUCGAUGUUAGAGCUCCCCCCCUCCCCUUGCUUACUCCUCCUCCUUGCCCCUGUUGGAGCUCUUCCCCGCCCCUAGGAAUGGGGGGUCGGUGGUGGGUGAGCGAGAUCUGAAGGGUCAGGAUUUCUUCAUUCCCGCCUGUCAGCCUAAGCGACCUUACAAAACAAACAAACAAAAACCAGCACCAGUACCAGCACCGCCUGAAAACAUGGAAUACGUUUCGAUGAAAUAAAAUCACCCUCGCUUUCCUGGCGUGACACUAAGCUAAGCCUCCAUCUCUCUCUCCCCCCCCCGCCCUUGACACCGCGUGGGGUGGGGGAGUUGGGGUGCGGGGAGCGCCUGUGAGGAAAUGGAAGGAUCCUCCGGCUGCUCCGCGGAGGAGGAAGGGGAGCUGACCCUUCUCACCGUCAAGCAUGAGCUGAAGAAUGCAAACUUGACAGGUCAUGUAGAGAAAGUGGGCAUUGAGAACUUUGAACUCUUGAAAGUUCUUGGAACAGGAGCCUAUGGGAAGGUAUUUCUGGUGAGGAAAAUAAGUGGCCAUGAUGCUGGCAAGUUGUAUGCCAUGAAAGUAUUGAAAAAAGCAACGAUAAUUCAAAAAGCCAAAACGACCGAACAUACAAAGACUGAACGGCAAGUACUGGAACACAUUAGACAAUCUCCAUUUUUGGUCACUUUGCAUUAUGCUUUUCAGACAGAUACAAAGCUUCAUCUCAUUUUGGAUUAUAUAAAUGGAGGAGAACUUUUUACCCAUCUUUCACAAAGAGAGAGAUUUACUGAAGAUGAGGUACGGAUAUAUAUUGGAGAGAUUGUAUUGGCACUUGAACAUCUACACAAGUUGGGAAUUAUCUAUCGAGACAUAAAGCUUGAGAAUAUUCUCCUUGAUUCUGAUGGCCAUGUGGUGCUGACUGACUUUGGCUUGAGUAAGGAGUUUGUUAGUGAUGAAAAUGAGAGGGCAUAUUCCUUCUGUGGAACUAUAGAAUACAUGGCUCCAGAUAUUGUCAAAGGAGGGGAGAAAGGGCAUGACAAAGCUGUUGAUUGGUGGAGUCUAGGCGUUCUUAUGUAUGAAUUAUUAACUGGAGCAUCACCUUUUACAGUUGAUGGAGAAAGAAAUUCACAAACUGAGAUAUCUAGGAGAAUAUUAAAAAGUGAACCUCCUUAUCCUCAAGAAAUGUCUGCUCUAGCUAAAGAUAUUAUUCAGUGCCUUUUGAUGAAAGAUCCCAAUAAAAGACUGGGCUGUGGUCCAAGUGGUGCUGAUGAAAUCAAACAACAGCCUUUCUUCCAGAAAAUAAACUGGAAAGACUUGGCUGCCAAAAAAGUGCCAGCACCAUUUAAACCAGUAAUUCGUGAUGAAUUGGAUGUUGGUAACUUUGCAGAGGAGUUCACAGACAUGGACCCAACGUAUUCUCCAGCAACUACUCCACAGGCUGCAGAUAAGCUUUUCCAGGGAUAUUCUUUUGUUGCUCCUUCUAUAUUAUUCAAACGUAAUGCAGCUACCAUGGAUCCUGUUCAGUUUCUGACAGAAAUUGAUCGACCUGGAGUCACAAGUAUUGCCAGAAGUGUUAUGAUGAAGGACUCUCCCUUCUAUCAUCACUAUGAACUGGAUCUGAAAGAAAAACCCCUAGGAGAAGGAAGCUUUUCUAUCUGUCGAAAGUGUUUACACAAAAAAACUAACCAAGAAUACGCAGUAAAAAUAAUUAGUAAAAGACUAGAAGCCAAUACUCAGAGAGAAAUAACUGCUUUAAAACUCUGUGAAGAACAUCCUAAUGUUGUGAAGCUGCAUGAAAUUUAUCACGACCAGCUCCACACAUUUCUAGUAAUGGAACUGCUGAAAGGAGGAGAAUUACUUGAACGCAUCCAGAAAAAGAAAUAUUUCAGUGAAACAGAAGCCAGUUAUAUCAUGCGCAGGCUUGUUUCAGCAGUAAGCCACAUGCAUGAUGUAGGAGUAGUCCACAGAGAUCUAAAACCUGAGAAUUUGUUAUUCACAGAUGAAAGUGAUAAUUCAGAAAUAAAAAUAAUUGAUUUUGGAUUUGCCCGGUUAAAACCACCUGACAAUCAGCCUCUUAAGACUCCAUGUUUUACCCUUCAUUAUGCUGCUCCAGAGCUUUUAAAUCAUAAUGGUUAUGAUGAAUCAUGUGAUCUCUGGAGUUUGGGAGUUAUUUUGUAUACGAUGCUCUCGGGACAAGUACCUUUCCAGUCCCAAGAUAAGAUAAUAUACACAAAUGCAUUAGAAAUUAUGAAGAAAAUUAAAAGAGGGGAAUUUUCCUUUGAAGGAGAUGCUUGGAAGAAUGUGUCUCAAGAAGCCAAAGAUUUGAUACAAGGACUUCUUACAGUGGAUCCAAAUAAGAGAAUUAAAAUGACCAGUUUGAGAUACAAUGAGUGGCUUCAAGAUGGUAGCCAACUGUCAUCCAACCCAUUAAUGACGCCAGACAAUUUAGGAUCUUCAGGAGCUGCUGUACAUACUUAUGUCAAAGCAACUUUUAAUGCAUUUAACAAGUACAAGAGGGAAGGAUUUUGCCUCCAGAAUGUUGACAAGGCACCUCUUGCAAAAAGAAGGAAGAUGAAAAAGACGAGCACAAGCACAGAGACACGCAGCAGUUCCAGUGAAAGUUCUCACUCUUCCUCUUCUCAUUCACAUGGUAAAACUACCCCUACAACGACACUGCAGACAACAAACCCUACAGACAGCAAUAAUCCAGAGAGCAUCUUCCAGUUUUCUGAAUGAAAAAUACAGAGACUGCCUCUGUUGAAGAAUGCAGUUGUUAGAAACUUGUUGACAUAUGCACUCCUUUGAACACAGUGAUGUUUGUUACUUGUUGACAACUUCCAUAUCAGGCACACAUUUUUACAAACUUCUGUUUUUAAUAUUCUGUUUCAAUCCUAGUGUACUGUAGUACAUCCUAAAAUACUGAUGUGACUAUAUCUAGAAUUGAAGAUCAGAAACCAAUUUGUAUGUUGCUUGUAAGUAGCUUCAAAUCCUUUAUUUUAAGCUAUUGAUAACAUAAAGGCUAUGGUCCAGUGAGGUAACCCUGGACAUGUAACAGAGGUUCCCCAUUGCCAACUAAGGCAAUGGAGAGAACCCCAUAUAACACAUUUUACCAGCAAUGGCAGCCCCGGGUGCAUGCAUGCCUCUUAUUUAUGGCUGAUUUUCUUUGGCAAUUCCUAUACAAUAGAAGGGUGACAAGAUGAGGGUGAUCUGUAUUGAAACAUAUUCACCAGGAUCAAAAUAUGUGCUAUUUUCCUUCGGCAAGAAGCUUGCAAGUGAAAAUCAAGCCACAUCCAAAGAUCCGCAUGUGGAAUGAAUGCAUAAGACAUAUGCAACCAUUUAGCUAGUGCAAGGGCUUGGUCACUGGUAUGCACAAUUUACAGGAUUUCUUUCUAUCAGAGUUUGGUCAUUUGGGCUUCUCUGGUUUGAGAGACUAAUUGGGUUUUUAAUAGCUCCAUAAAAUACUGAGGUAUCUGUCAAAGGAGCGUGCUGUUUUCUGAAGCAUUGCUACAUAAAUUUCUAAAGGUUUUCUGAACAACAACAGCAAAAUCUUACAUACUCAUGCCUAAUUUUUAAAUAUAAAAAUUAGUUUCUUCUAAGUGAGAAUUCGAUAUUUUAUCAUGUGGGUCCAAAAUUUAAGUAUGCUGUGAUACAUACUAUAUUUGACAGUUUGCUGUCCAGCUGUAGCAAAGUAUUCAGAAGUUUUUACGUUACAUAAAGCAUCUGCAUGAUUUGGUACACCUAUAUCAUCACUUUUGAUGAGUAAUUAAGCAAUGCAAUGAGUGCUUGAGAUGCAAUAUGACCUGCUCUGUUAGAUUCACUGGAAUUUGAGCUUAUAGCACCAUUCCGCCUUGCAAUAUUAAGCUUUUGUUUUCUUGCUAUUUCCAUUCCUAUAGGCAAUACUCUUCGGAUUUUGCCCUCUAUCACUUCAGGGCACGUUUAACUUUAAAACAUUUAUGCACUGGUAAAACUAAAGGGAUAUUCUAUCAAGCACUGUGCUUCACAUCUAUACACUGUGUUCUACUACAGUGAGACUUCCUGCUGUAGUUGUAAUCUAUUUGGAAUAAUGUGACUGAUGCAUUUUAAAUAGUAACAAAAUUGUGAAGCAUAAUGUGUCAAUGUAUGCAGAGCACUUUUACAGUGCAUGUGCUCCAGUUUUGCAAGAAGUCAUUAAAUAGUCGACAGUGGGGUGAUUUGUGCAAAGUUAAAUUAAUGCAUAGAUGUUUGCAUGAAUCCACCCAGUAGAUUUCACAACACUUUGCUGCACUGUAGAAUAAACUAAAUCCAAAGCCUAUGCAAAAAUAUACAAACUGUUCUAUAAAUGGCUUGUUUACAUAGUUGAAUCUGUUAUCAGUGUUUGAGAAGUCAAAUGCAGACCUUCUAUACUAGAUGCUGAAGGAACAAAAUCCUUGAAACUUGGCAUGUUUUUCUGUGUUGCUAAAAUAUAAUUGAUAGUAUUUUCAACAGGAAAGUGAUAGCAAUGGAUUCAAGAUAGGUCUUUUUUUUUUUUUUUUUUUUUGGAGGGGAGGGGGGCUUGUUAAAAUCCAUGCAAUCUUGCUUUUAUUUAGAGACAAAAAUAUAAUUCUAGACCUCAUAGUUGCAGAAGUUGAUCUUGCAAAUGUACUGGCAGAAACUAGAAGGCUUGUAAUCAGAUACCAGAUGUGGUGAGAUCCUAUAUGUGUUUGCCCAGAAGUAAGCCCUGCUCGGUUCAAUGAGGCUCAUUACCUAGCAAGUGUGCAUAGGAUCACUGCCUUAGUUGCUUUGAUCCCUGGGGUUGCUAAAGUAACAAUAACUUCAGAUCCUAAUAUGUUCUUUUUCCACAUUUGGAGUAGUUAAUUUCAAGAUACAUAUAGCAAACUGUUAACACAGCCUGUCCACCCAAUGUGCCUUUGGUUCCACACUGUGUUUAGGAACUUAACAUUAUCUCUGCAGUCUGUGAGUAUGUGAAGAUGUGGACAGGAUAAAUCUUUGGUUAUUUACUUCUAAAAUGGGCUGAUCAUGUUUUCAUUGUGGUCCUGGUGCUGAACAAGUUGCCCACCUUUUGAGUCUGAAGGUUUCACAAUUAGUGAUGCAAAUCCCUUAAUUUACUACUUUGUAAUGAGUGGUAGAUUUUUAUAUUUUAUAAUCCUAUGCUAUAACAGCACAGAUAACUUUAAUGUAGUUUAUAGUAUGAUACAAAACUUGCCAGCAUUCAGUUCAGAUUCGCUUUCUGAAUCUUUCUUUGCUAAUAUGAUCUAUAUAAUGAAACAUUCUCCCACUAAUAAAUAAAUUGUCAUGGUUAUGCCUCUCAGCAUCAAUGAGUUGAGAUGCAAACCUUUUAGUAUUUCGUAAAUUAGAUAUCUUGCUAUACUUUUUCCAUGUUGCAUCUCAUUCUGAAGUCUAAACAGAGUUAUCUUAUUUUUACAUAAAAUGUCUGGAUCAGUACGUUAAACUACAAUGCAGUAUACUCUGCUUUAAAUUUAUAUGUAGUUUAAACUAAUUCUGUUCAAAUAUCUAGCCCUUUUAAGGGAAAUCCAAAUAAAUGGCUUUUUAUAUUAGAAUAGCUUCAUUAAUAUUUGGUAGAAUUUCAUAAAAUGCACAUAGUAAAGUAAUGAUUUGUUAAGAUUUCUCAGGAAAAGAGUUUGUUUCUAUUUCCUUCUCUUGCACAGGCAGCUAUCAUGAAAACUCACAGAGUUAUUUUUAUACUACUGGGAAGCAGAUUUUUUUUGCAAGUCCUGAAUGAGUUGUAUCAACUUCAGAAGGAAAGUUGAGACUUCAGUUGUGUCAAAAAAAAAGUAUAGUAUCUUAAGUCUUGGGGUUUGCUGAAAUGUUUUGUGUGUGGAUUUAAAUUUUAAAAGCAGUAAGGGCUUACAUUUUCAAAAUCAUGUAUAUGUUCAAUUAUAUUUGUUCUAUCCUCAAAAAAUAAAACUUGUCUAUGUACGAAA